AGCAGCCGCGGUAAUUCCAGCUCCAAUAGCGUAUAUUAAAGUUGUUGCAGUUAAAAAGCUCGUAGUUGAAUUUCGGGAUUGGCGCAUCGGUCGUGCCUCACGGGGUAUGAACUGGUGCAGUCAAUUUCUCACCUUCUGGAGAACCGCGAUGUCCUUAAUUGGAUGCCGUGGGGAACCAGGACCUUUACUUUGAAAAAAUUAGAGUGUUUAAAGCAGGCAUUUUUGCUUGAAUACAUUAGCAUGGAAUAAUAAAAUAGGACGGCAUGGUUCUAUUUUGUUGGUUUCUAGGACCACCGUAAUGAUUAAUAGGGAUAGUUGGGGGCAUUAGUAUUCAAUUGUCAGAGGUGAAAUUCUUGGAUUUAUUGAAGACUAACUACUGCGAAAGCAUUUGCCAAGGAUGUUUUCAUUAAUCAAGAACGAAAGUUAGGGGAUCGAAGACGAUCAGAUACCGUCGUAGUCUUAACCAUAAACUAUGCCGACUAGGAAUCAGACGAUGUUAAUUUUUUAAUGACUCAUUCGGCGCCUUACG
rnacentral:rRNA from 1 species